rnacentral:lncRNA from 1 species
CUGGUUUGGAUUCUGUGCAGGAGCUGCUGGGUUUUUUGCUGCCUGCAGUUCCUGUGUCUCCUUGGCUGCAUCUCCUGUCUUGAGGCAUUUCUUACAUGUAGCAAAGCAGUGACCAUCUGCCCCGAUAAUCUCUGCAUCUGUUUCAGCUGCUACACCUGUGAUAUUUCAAGACUUCCCUUGCCAGCAGGUAAGUUCUCUUUUUUUCAGUUAUGUCUUGAUGUGACAGCAGUUAGCUUUUAAGGGCUUGCUUACAAUAUAG